rnacentral:tRNA from 1 species
GGUGCGUUAGUUCAGUUGGUUAGAAUACAUGCCUGUCACGCAUGGGUACGGGUUCGAGUCCCGUACGCACCG